CCUGGUUAUCAAAAACAUCUCCUUUUUAAUAAUAGGUAAACUCUGCUCAAUGAAUAUUUUAAUAGCCGCAGUAUUUUAACUGUGCUAAGGUAGCAUAAUAAUUUGUUUUAUAAUUGAAAACUUGCAUAAAUGAGUUAAUGAUUUAUUUUUUUUCUUUUAAUAAAUUAAUAAAUUUUAUUUUUAAGUUUAAAAGCUUAAAUUUUCAAAAAGACGAUAAGACCCUAUAAAACUUUAUAAAUAUAUUAAUUAAUUUUUAAGAAAAAUAAUUAUUAAAUUUAUUGAGCUGGGGCGGUAAAAUAAAAACCUAUUUAGAUGUAACAAAAUUUUUGAAAAAUUAGAUCUUUAAAAGAUUUAAAACUAGUUACUUUAGGGAUAACAGCGUUAUUUUUCUUUUGAGAUCUUAUCUUUAGAAAAGACUUGCGACCUCGAUGUUGAAUUGAGGGGCCUAAGAAAAGUAGAAAUUUCUUAAGGGGGUCUGUUCGACCUUUAAAACCUCACGUGAUCUGAGUCAGACCG
rnacentral:rRNA from 1 species